GACGAAGGUGGCUAGCGUUGUUCGGAAUCACUGGGCUUAAAGCGCACGCAGGCGGCCUGUUAAGUGCCUUGUGAAAUCCCCCGGCUCAACCGGGGAAUCGCUGGGCAUACUGGCGGGCUUGAGGCAGGUAAGGGCGCGUGGAACUCUUGGUGGAGCGGUGAAAUGCGUAGAUAUCAAGAGGAACGCCGGAGGUGAAGACGACGCGCUGGGCUUGUCCUGACGCUGAGGUGCGAAAGCCAGGGGAG
rnacentral:rRNA from 1 species